CGGCCGCGCCAAACUCUAAAUUUGCAAAGCGGACUGCACGUUCUGAUUUAAAACAAAAAACAAGUAAAAACUUUUAACAACGGAUCUCUUGGUUCUGGCAUCGAUGAAGAACGCAGCGAAAUGCGAUAAGUAAUGUGAAUUGCAGAAUUCAGUGAAUCAUCGAAUCUUUGAACGCACAUUGCGCCCGGCAGCAAUCUGCCGGGCAUGCCUGUCCGAGCGUCAUUUCUCCCCUCGAGCGCGGCUAGCCCUACGGGGCCAGCCGCCGCCCGGUGUUGGGGCUCUACGGGUGGGGCUCGUCCCCCCCGCAGUCCCCGAAAUGUAGUGGCGGUCCAGCCGCGGCGCCCCCUGCGUAGUAGAUCCUACAUCUCGCAUCGGGUCCCGGCGAAGGCCAGCCGUCGAACCUUCUUACUCAUGGUUUGACCUCGGAUCAGGUAGGGUUACCCGCUGAACUUAAGCAUAUCAAUAAGCGGAGGAAAAGAAACCAACAGGGAUUGCCCCAGUAACGGCGAGUGAAGCGGCAACAGCUCAAAUUUGAAAUCUGGUCCCCUCUGGGGGCCCGAGUUGUAAUUUGAAGAGGAUGCUUUUGGCGAGGCGCCGUCCGAGUUCCCUGGAACGGGACGCCGCAGAGGGUGAGAGCCCCGUACGGUCGGACGCCGAGC
rnacentral:misc_RNA from 1 species